CAGAGAAUAGUUUAUAAUAAAAUUUUAAUUUUGGGGAUUAAAGAUAGAAAAUAAUUUCUUUCUCUGAAGUUUUAAAAGUAAAGACUUAU
rnacentral:tRNA from 1 species